CUUCGGUUUGCAGCCGCUAUUCUCUCUCCAGGCCCAACACCGGCCGGUCCACUUCUCCCUCAUAAGGCAGCCAUCUGCAACUAGGGUUCAUAGUAGUUCAUAGUCAGUGACCAACAUGAGUGACCGAAGGUACGGGUACUCGUACCCACACAACCAAGGGUAUUACAACGGACCGCCGGUGAUGGCGCCGCCGCAGUACGCCCCGCCGCCGAGACGGCAGACGGGCUUCCUCGAAGGAUGCCUCGCAGCGCUGUGCUGCUGCUGCUGCCUCGUCGACGAGUGCUGCUGCGACCCAUCCAUCAUACUCGUGAGCUGAUAGAAACGCGCACGUACUGUAGUACAUGUGCGAUUAUGUAGCGUACUGUAGUACAUGUGCGAUUAUAAGUGUCGUGUAUAUGUGUCCUUCCCUCCCGCUGUUGUUUUCAGCUGGACCGGUUCAGCUCUCCAGCGCCAGGACAGGACAGGUGGGUGGUGUGUGAUGUAUGUAUGUAUCUGAUGUGAGUCUACGAAUAAGAUGAGGAAAAAGAGAA